rnacentral:misc_RNA from 1 species
GAUGAAGAACGUAGCGAAAUGCGAUAAGUAAUGUGAAUUGCAGAAUCCAGUGAAUCAUCGAAUCUUUGAACGCACAUUGCGCCCGCCAGCAUUCUGGCGGGCAUGCCUGUUCGAGCGUCAUUUCAACCCUCGACCUCCCCUUGGGGAGGUCGGCGUUGGGGACCGGCAGCACACCGCCGGCCCUGAAGUGGAGUGGCGGCCCGUCUGCGGCGACCUCUGCGUAGUAAUACAGCUCGCACCGGAACCCCGACGCGGCCACGCCGUAAAACACCCAACUUCUGAACGUUGACCUCGAAUCAGGUAGGACUACCCGCUGAACUUAAGCAUAUCAAUAAGCGGAGGA